rnacentral:rRNA from 1 species
CCCGCUGAACUUAAGCAUAUCACUAAGCGGAGGAAAAGAAAUUAACUAAGAUUGCCUCAGUAACGGCGAGUGAAGCGGCAAAAGCCCAAAGUGGUAAUCUUCACGCUUCGCGUGACGAAUUGUAAUCUAAAGGAGGGACUCUCACCUGGAUGUGACGCAGAAGUACCCUAGAAUGGGUCGCCAAAGAGGGUGACAGCCCCGUAUGUGGUGUUGUGUCCUAACGAGAACCUUUCAACGAGUCGGGUUGUUUGGGAAUGCAGCCCUAAUUGGGAGAUACACUUCUUCUAAGGCUAAAUAUUUAUGGGAAACCGAUAGCAAACAAGUACUGUGAAGGAAAGAUGAAAAGAACUUUGAAAAGAGAGUCAAAAGACUUGAAAUCGUUGAGAAGGAAGCGGUAGAAAUUUAUUCCGUUAGCUUGAAUGAAGGUGUUCGCCUAAACAUUGCAGGCCUGAGUACUUUAACGGCUUUGGUUUGCACUUGCGGAAGUGAUAGCUGGAUUCAAGUUGAUGAGGCAAAAUGGGGUUUUUUAGGCACAAAAGCUUAGUAUACUUGGGAAGGUUCGCCUUUCAGUUUAUUUGUGCUAGUGUCUAGAAAGCCUGAGGGUGCUUUUGCGAUUUUGCUAAAAUGGUUUUUACCGACCCGUCUCGAAACACGGACCAAGGAGUCUAUCAUAUAUGCAAGUGUGCUGGUGGAAAAACCAACACGCGUAAUGAAGGUAAUUGAUGCCAAGCGCAAGCAGCAGCAUCGACCGACCAUGAUUCUCUGAUGAAAGGUUUGAGUAUGAGCAUAUAUGCUAGGACCCGAAAGAUGGUGAACUAUGCCUGGGUAGGGUGAAGCCAGGGGAAACUCUGGUGGAAGCUCGAAGCGAUUCUGACGUGCAAAUCGAUCGUCUAACUUGGGUAUAGGGGCGAAAGACUAAUCGAACCAUCUAGUAGCUGGUUCCCUCCGAAGUUUCCCUUAGGAUAGCUGAGACAAUAACGCAGUUUUAUCAGGUAAAGCGAAUGAUUAGAGGUAUCUGGGGUAAAUUGCCCUGGACCUAUUCUCAAACUUUAAAUUGGUAAGAACUUUGGCCUUUCUUAAGUGAGGCACAAGGGAUCAAUGCUUGUCUCAAGUGGGCCAUUUUUGGUAAGCAGAACUGGCGAUGAGGGUUGCUCCUAACGUUGAGUUAAGGUGCCUAACUACACGCUCAUCAGAAACUACAAAGGGUGUUGGUUCAUCCAGACAGCAGGACGGUGGCCAUGGAAGUCGGAACCCGCUAAGGAGUGUGUAACAACUCACCUGCCGAAUG